rnacentral:rRNA from 1 species
UGGGGGAUAUUGCACAAUGGGCGAAAGCAUGAUGCAGCGACGCCGCGUGGGGGAUGAAGGCUUUCGGGUUGUAAACCUCUUUCGCUAUCGAACAAGGCCCGCUUAGGGUGGGUUGAGGGUAGGUGGAGAAGAAGCGCCGGCUAACUACGUGCCAGCAGCCGCGGUAAUACGUAGGGCGCGAGCGUUGUCCGGAAUUAUUGGGCGUAAAGGGCUUGUAGGCGGCUUGUUGCGCCUGCUGUGAAAACGCGGGGCUUAACUUCGCGCGUGCAGUGGGUACGGGCAGGCUUGAGUGUGGUAGGGGUGACUGGAAUUCCAGGUGUAGCAGUGGAAUGCGCAGAUAUCUGGAGGAACACCGAUGGCGAAGGCAGGUCACUGGGCCAUUACUGACGCUGAGGAGCGAAAGCAUGGGUAGCGAACAGG